rnacentral:rRNA from 1 species
CAGACGGGUGAGUAACGCGUGGGAACGUACCUUUUGGUUCGGAACAACACAGGGAAACUUGUGCUAAUACCGGAUAAGCCCUUACGGGGAAAGAUUUAUCGCCGAAAGAUCGGCCCGCGUCUGAUUAGCUAGUUGGUGAGGUAAUGGCUCACCAAGGCGACGAUCAGUAGCUGGUCUGAGAGGAUGAUCAGCCACAUUGGGACUGAGACACGGCCCAAACUCCUACGGGAGGCAGCAGUGGGGAAUAUUGGACAAUGGGCGCAAGCCUGAUCCAGCCAUGCCGCGUGAGUGAUGAAGGCCCUAGGGUUGUAAAGCUCUUUUGUGCGGGAAGAUAAUGACGGUACCGCAAGAAUAAGCCCCGGCUAACUUCGUGCCAGCAGCCGCGGUAAUACGAAGGGGGCUAGCGUUGCUCGGAAUCACUGGGCGUAAAGGGUGCGUAGGCGGGUUUCUAAGUCAGAGGUGAAAGCCUGGAGCUCAACUCCAGAACUGCCUUUGAUACUGGAAGUCUUGAGUUCGGGAGAGGUGAGUGGAACUGCGAGUGUAGAGGUGAAAUUCGUAGAUAUUCGCAAGAACACCAGUGGCGAAGGCGGCUCACUGGCCCGAUACUGACGCUGAGGCACGAAAGCGUGGGGAGCAAACAGGAUUAGAUACCCGGGUAGUCCACGCCGUAAACGAUGAAUGCCAGCCGUUAGUGGGUUUACUCACCAGUGGCGCAGCUAACGCUUUAAGCAUUCCGCCUGGGGAGUACGGUCGCAAGAUUAAAACUCAAAGGAAUUGACGGGGGCCCGCACAAGCGGUGGAGCAUGUGGUUUAAUUCGACGCAACGCGCAGAACCUUACCAGCCCUUGACAUGUCCAGGACCG